GGGCGUGUAGCUCAGUUGGGAGAGUGUCUGGUUCGCAUCCAGAAGGUCGUGGGUUCGAGUCCCAUCACGUCCA
rnacentral:tRNA from 1 species